rnacentral:rRNA from 1 species
GCGGCAGGCUUAACACAUGCAAGUCGAGGGGCAGCGGGGAGGAAGCUUGCUUUCUCCGCCGGCGACCGGCGCACGGGUGAGUAACACGUAUGCAACCUGCCCCUGUCAGGGGGACAACCCGCCGAAAGGCGGGCUAAACCCGCGUACAUGCCACCGGGGCAUCCCGGAGGCAGGAAAGGCUUCGGCCGGACAGGGAUGGGCAUGCGGCGCAUUAGGCAGUAGGCGGGGUAACGGCCCACCUAACCGACGAUGCGUAGGGGUUCUGAGAGGAAGGUCCCCCACACUGGUACUGAGACACGGACCAGACUCCUACGGGAGGCAGCAGUGAGGAAUAUUGGUCAAUGGUCGGGAGACUGAACCAGCCAAGCCGCGUGAGGGAGGAAGGUACAGAGUAUCGUAAACCUCUUUUGUCAGGGAACAAAGACUGGGACGCGUCCCCGGAUGAGUGUACCUGAAGAAAAAGCAUCGGCUAACUCCGUGCCAGCAGCCGCGGUAAUACGGAGGAUGCGAGCGUUAUCCGGAUUUAUUGGGUUUAAAGGGUGCGCAGGCGGUCUGUUAAGUCAGCGGUCAAAGCCCGGGGCUCAACCCCGGCCCGCCGUUGAAACUGGCAGUCUCGAGUUGGAGAGAAGUAUGCGGAAUGCGCGGUGUAGCGGUGAAAUGCAUAGAUAUCGCGCAGAACUCCGAUUGCGAAGGCAGCAUGCCGGCUCCACACUGACGCUGAGGCACGAAAGCGUGGGUAUCGAACAGGAUUAGAUACCCUGGUAGUCCACGCAGUAAACGAUGAAUGCUGGCUGUCCGGGGGGGACUGACCCCUGGGUGGCGAAGCGAAAGCGAUAAGCAUUCCACCUGGGGAGUACGCCGGCAACGGUGAAACUCAAAGGAAUUGACGGGGGCCCGCACAAGCGGAGGAACAUGUGGUUUAAUUCGAUGAUACGCGAGGAACCUUACCCGGGCUCAAACGGGGAGUGCCGCAGGCAGAGACGCCUGUUUCCCACGGGACACUCCCCGAGGUGCUGCAUGGUUGUCGUCAGCUCGUGCCGUGAGGUGUCGGCUUAAGUGCCAUAACGAGCGCAACCCCCGCGUGCAGUUGCUAACAGAUAACGCUGAGGACUCUGCACGGACUGCCGGCGCAAGCCGCGAGGAAGGCGGGGAUGACGUCAAAUCAGCACGGCCCUUACGUCCGGGGCGACACACGUGUUACAAUGGGUGGUACAGCGGGAAGCCAGGCGGCGACGCCGAGCGGAACCCGAAAUCCACUCUCAGUUCGGAUCGGAGUCUGCAACCCGACUCCGUGAAGCUGGAUUCGCUAGUAAUCGCGCAUCAGCCAUGGCGCGGUGAAUACGUUCCCGGGCCU